CCACGCGGUAGUGAAUGAAAAAAGUUUGAGCUGUCCGACUCGCCGUAACUAUACCGGUAAUAUUAGCGUUGUUAAGACACCCACCACAUAACACACAGACCCCGAAGGGUCCUUGUGUCGGAGUGUUGUGUAUUGGUCAGACAGACUUCCGGGUAUGGCGGAUAUGUUCCGGGUAUAUAUUGUGAAACUCACUAAACGACAACGCUCUGGAUUUUACUUCUUUGAGACAAACUACCACAAUGAAGUUGAUCGCCCCGAUUAUCCUUGGUCUAGUCUGUGUUGUCGCUAUGGCUUUCGCGGACUACGAUAGCUAUGGUAGCUAUGGUGGCUAUGGUGGCAAUAUCGGUAGCUAUGGAGGCGAAUAUGGCUACGGUAGCUAUGGAUACGUAGGGAACGCACAGAGAGGCGGUAGCGGUCUUGGAAUGUGGCUGCCAAUCCUAGGCCUUCUCCUCAUCCUGCCACUGUUCCUCGCAAGAGGACCCAACACCAUCCAGCUCGUGAAUCAGUCAGGAUAAGAGGCUGAGCGUUUGCUUUUAUCUGAUACAUUCAUCAUUUUGAAGAUUUCUUUGCAAAUCCUCACAUCGCUGCACGUAUAAAUGUACUUUGAGUGGCUGAGGAAUAACUGCGAUAGUCUGGAUGUGUGAACAAAAUGAAACAUACGAAUUGACUCCUUACUUCAGUGCAAAAUAAAUUACUUUUUCGACUUCUUGGUUCACGUAAACACACGACUGCGUUCAACGAUGAUCUCCAACUGUAACUUUAUUAUACAUCACUAUGGUUACAAUAAUUUCUAGACCAGCACCAUUUAACAGAACAAAAACAACAACAAACAUUUAGCUGAAGGAAUACAGAACAUAUAAUGAAAAGAACAGAUAAACUUAAGAAACAUACUUUGUUUUAUUGAAAUACAUGUAGAUUAUAAAUAAUGUCAUGUAUUUCAUUCAUACUGGGAUGUGUUGUAUUCUUAUUUAUAAUGCUGAAAUCCCUAUAGUCACUCUAGAAUGUUUUUUGAGAACAUUAAUUGUUGGAAAUUUAAAACUUAAAUGGUGUUUUUUGUUCAUGUUACUUUAAAAGAUUGUCGUAACGAUUGAAACUCCUAGAUUAUGUGACAUUAAUUUGCAGUAUAUGCCAUUAUAUUUUAAUCAAUAUCAAAUAUAUUGAUAAUUACAUUUGAAAAUGCAAAGAAUAAUUUACUUGUCAAUUGAUAAACAGUGAUUGAAUUUUAUUGUUUGAUUUGAAUAUAAAGAGCAUUCUUCGGUAACACAACUUUUUUUUUUCCUUUUUACCGUUACUUGUCACUCCGGUAGGAAUACACUGCAUUUUGAAUGACUUGUGUAUAUUAUAAAUGACUUGUGUUAAUUUUAAUUGACUUGUGUUAAUUAUAAAUGACUUGUGUUAAUUUUAAUUGACUUGUGUUAAUUAUAAAAAUGACUUGUGUUAUUAAAUAUCAUCCACAAGUUAACGAACACUUAACGAUUUCCUGUUAUUUUAGAUUUAUAUUUUACAUGUGUGAUUCCGUGAGUGUCAUCGUUCUACGUUUUUUCUCCGAAAGUGUUUUUGCAUUUUGUCCACACCUUUCAUUUUCACCAAAAACAGCUUGUGAUAUGUAAAUUAAUAUGUUAAUUAUUUAAUCUUCUGAUCGUGAUCCACUGUUGGGUGAGUGUCUGAGUGAUUUGUGAGUGAAUGAUGUGCUUGUGAAGAGUGUGUGGACGUGUAUGUGAUGAAUAAAUCGUUUAACCGUUUAUUGUGAUUAUGACUUUUGCUUCAUGACCAAUAAAUCAUGAUUUGAUCGUUGAAGUAUUUCCCAUUUAGAAAUCAUUAAUAUGUAUCACAUUAUUUAUUUAUAGUUUAUUUAUAUAUUUAUUUCAUCACUUAAUGCGUAUUGUCCAGUUGCAUGUCUGAUUGCUCCAAAUAAA